UAACCUCAAAUCGGACGUGAUGACCCACUGAAUUUAAGCAUAUUAGUCAGCGGAGGAAAAGAAACUAACCAGUAUUUGCUCAGUAAUGGUAUGUUGUUGGGAGAUGUCAUUCUGUAAAUAUGUGUCUGAUUGGUCUGAAUAAAGCACUGUUGGCCAAUAGGGAAACAAGAUAUGUAAGGCUGGGAACCUAGGAAGAUUCCGGGAAUUGUAGUGAGGAGAGCUCUUGCCAUGCCAUCUCCAGGGAGCAAAAGGCACUCAGGAGUGUAUCCUCAAAAAGAUAAGUUCUUAUAAAAUAUAUACUAGUAAUUACAGGUUAAUAAUCAAGUCAGAACUAGCCGAUAAGAAACCAAGCAAAUGGCCAACAGCUUGUGUGUUACUUAAGGGCUCAGACAACUAGACAGGAACCAGGCAGUGGCAGGAAGACUACACGUUACAGUGAGUGAACAGGAAAGAGCCCAGCAACAAAUCCUGACCACACAGCACGGUUCAGGAACUGCGGCUUGUGGAAGACCCACUUCUGGGUGCCUCUCAUGGGGGACCCAAGACCAUCUGAUGUAGACCCAGCCUGUGGACGGUGUGAGUCCAGCAGCCUGGGUCUUCCCGGAGUGGGGUUGCUUGGGAAUGCAGCCUAAAGUGGUGGUUAAACUCUUUUUAAAGCUAAAUACUGGCACGAGACUAAUAGUCAACAAACCUUAAGGAAAAGUUGAAAAGAAUUUGAACAGAAAGACAAGGGAGGGAGGGGAAGGGGAAGAGAGAGAGAUAAAGACAGAGCACAGGCUUCUCAGUGUACACAUGGCACCUGAGACCACGCCCAGAAGGGACCUGUACCUCAAACGCUAUUGGCUGAAUGAGUUCCCAGAGUACCUGCACUUUUAGCAUGCAAACUUUAUAUAAGUCUCAUUUCACGUUAAGAGAACACAUGCAUUCAUUGAUGAAUUACUUUAUUUGUAACAGCCCCUUGAUACUGCAAGGCAGGAAGUUGGAUGUGAAGGGAAGGAUGGAUGUGGGCAAUCUGUUAGCCCAAGGUAGUGGCGUGGUGGGGAAGAUCAGCCUGAUGCAUCAGGCUUUGGUGUCUCUACAGAAGGUGUCUAGGGAAGGAGAGGAAUGCUUUCUUUAUCCCUGGGGGGACUGGGUUGGGCUAUGUGAAAAAAAAGCGGCUCUCUGAGCAGCUGGGUGACUCUCCUUCGCAAGAUUUCUUGAUACCCAUGAGGUACUUCCAACUGUAGCUCUUCUGGUGCUGGGCUAAACAUUCAGCCAGAAGUCUAUCACAGUGGCACAACUGUUGCCCACAGAAGUCCUGGUUUACUGAAAUUAGGAAAAACAGAGACUGAGCUGAGGGUUGCUAAUAUCCCAUGACUGCUGGCGGGGACCUGCCUGUUCUGAGAUGAGGAAGACCGACCCUCAUCUGAUGGUCACACAGCCACCAAACAUGGCACUGCCAGAGGUUUGCCUAGCUUCCUAGACAACCUCUUCUAGUUUUUCAUUGUUUUGUUUUUGUUUUUAAAGACAAGGUCUCAUGUAGCUCAGGCUGGCCUUGAACUCUAUGCAGGUGAUGAUGGCCUCGAACUUCUAAUCUUCCUGUCUCCACAUCCUGAGUCCUGGGAUUCCAGGCAUGCUAAAUCAUGCCCAAUGUAUACAGUGCUAGGGAUGGAACCCAGGCAAUCUUGUGUGCUAGGCUAGUACUCUGCCAACUGAGCUAUAUUUCUGAACCCCCCCCCCCACUGUUGCUAACAGACCUGCUUGUAUGAGGAAGCCCAGCCUCACUGGCCUCGGAAUGGAUGGACCUGGUGAAAACCGGCGUGGUCCACCCUUUCUCCUCGGCAGGCAUUGAUCUUAAGGUAGUAUGCAGCUGUAUUCUGAAUACAGUGCAAAAAGAGGAGGUCCACAGGGGUUGCUGGGCAGUGUUCAUUGCCCUCUCCAAAGAGUCUCAGUGAGAGAAAGCUGCCUGUGGUUGUAUGCCAGGAGGGCUCUUGGAGCUAUAGUGGGUCUUACAGUAUAAGCACAGAUGUUGGCAACAGCCCGGAGCUGAGGACACCUGAUCCUGGGCAUAGAAGUUGCCCAGACUUGGCACCACACAGGGCUAGAAUUCUCACAGGUUGUGAUGUUUCCAAUCUGACCAUGGCCCUUUU
rfam:Mesocricetus auratus contig144892, whole genome shotgun sequence.